UACGUAGGUGGCAAGCGUUGUCCGGAUUUACUGGGCGUAAAGAGCGCGCAGGCGGUCGUAUAAGUCGAAUGUGAAAGCCCCCGGCUCAACUGGGGAGGGUCAUUCGAUACUGUUCGACUCGAAGGCAGGAGAGGGAAGUGGAAUUCCGGGUGUAGUGGUGAAAUGCGUAGAUAUCCGGAGGAACACCAGUGGCGAAGGCGACUUUCUGGCCUGUUCCUGACGCUGAGGCGCGAAAGCUAGGGGAGCAAACGGG
rnacentral:rRNA from 1 species